AAUAAAAAAAGACCGAACACGAUUCCUGUAUUCGGUCCAGGGAAAUGGCUCUUUGAGAGCCGUGCGCUAAAAGUUGGCAUUAAUGCAGGCGAUGACGCCUUGCAACUUAAGGUUAGUCCACGUCUG
rnacentral:sRNA from 1 species